AGUAGCGGCGAGCGAACGGGGAGCAGCCCAGAGCCUGAAUCAGUGUGUGUGUUAGUGGAAGCGUCUGGAAAGGCGCGCGAUACAGGGUGACAGCCCCGUACACAAAAAUGCACAUACUGUGAGCUCGAUGAGUAGGGCGGGACACGUGGUAUCCUGUCUGAAUAUGGGGGGACCAUCCUCCAAGGCUAAAUACUCCUGACUGACCGAUAGUGAACCAGUACCGUGAGGGAAAGGCGAAAAGAACCCCGGCGAGGGGAGUGAAAAAGAACCUGAAACCGUGUACGUACAAGCAGUGGGAGCCUCUUAAUGGGGUGACUGCGUACCUUUUGUAUAAUGGGUCAGCGACUUAUAUUCUGUAGCAAGGUUAACCGAAUAGGGGAGCCGAAGGGAAACCGAGUCUUAACUGGGCGUUAAGUUGCAGGGUAUAGACCCGAAACCCGGUGAUCUAGCCAUGGGCAGGUUGAAGGUUGGGUAACACUAACUGGAGGACCGAACCGACUAAUGUUGAAAAAUUAGCGGAUGACUUGUGGCUGGGGGUGAAAGGCCAAUCAAACCGGGAGAUAGCUGGUUCUCCCCGAAAGCUAUUUAGGUAGCGCCUCGUGAAUUCAUCUCCGGGGGUAGAGCACUGUUUCGGCAAGGGGGUCAUCCCGACUUACCAACCCGAUGCAAACUGCGAAUACCGGAGAAUGUUAUCACGGGAGACACACGGCGGGUGCUAACGUCCGUCGUGAAGAGGGAAACAACCCAGACCGCCAGCUAAGGUCCCAAAGUCAUGGUUAAGUGGGAAACGAUGUGGGAAGGCCCAGACAGCCAGGAUGUUGGCUUAGAAGCAGCCAUCAUUUAAAGAAAGCGUAAUAGCUCACUGGUCGAGUCGGCCUGCGCGGAAGAUGUAACGGGGCUAAACCAUG
rnacentral:rRNA from 1 species